rnacentral:rRNA from 1 species
UAACACGUGGGUAACCUGCCCUGAUGAUUGGGACAACCCGAGGAAACUCGGGCUAAUACCGAAUGUGCCCUCCGACCACAAGGUCGCUGGGGAAAGGAAGCUUCGGCCUCCGCAUCGGGAUGGGCCCGCGGCCCAUUAGCUUGUUGGUGAGGUAACGGCUCACCAAGGCUGCGAUGGGUAGCUGGUCUGAGAGGACGAUCAGCCACACUGGGACUGAGACACGGCCCAG